rfam:Cavia porcellus supercont2_13 genomic scaffold, whole genome shotgun sequence.
GGGGAUUUAGCUCAGCGGCAUAAGCGCCUGUUUUGCAAGCAGGCACUAGUGAGUUCAAUCCCCA